rnacentral:rRNA from 1 species
UACGUAGGGGGCAAGCGUUGUCCGGAUUUAUUGGGCGUAAAGAGCGUGUAGGCGGCCAGGUAGGUCUGCUGUGAAAACUCGAGGCUCAACCUCGAGAUGUCGGCGGAAACCAUCUGGCUAGAGUCCGGAAGAGGAAAGUGGAAUUCCCGGUGUAGCGGUGAAAUGCGCAGAUAUCGGGAAGAACAUCGGUGGCGAAAGCGCUCUGCUGGACUGCAACUGACACUCAGGGACGAAAGCUAGGGGAGCGAAUGGG